rnacentral:rRNA from 1 species
UACGUAGGUGGCAAGCGUUGUCCGGAUUUACUGGGCGUAAAGAGCGCGCAGGCGGUCAGAUAAGUCGAAUGUGAAAGCCCCCGGCUCAACUGGGGAGGGUCAUUCGAUACUGUUCGACUCGAAGGCAGGAGAGGGAUGCGGAAUUCCAGGUGUAGCGGUGAAAUGCGUAGAUAUCUGGAGGAACACCGGUGGCGAAGGCGGCAUCCUGGACCGGCAUUGACGCUGAGGCGCGAAAGCGUGGGGAGCAAACAGG